rnacentral:rRNA from 1 species
GAUGAACGCUGGCGGCGUGCCUAAUACAUGCCAGUCGAGCGAACAGAUGAGGAGCUUGCUCCUCUGACGUUAGCGGCGGACGGGUGAGUAACACGUGGAUAACCUACCUAUAAGACUGGGAUAACUUCGGGAAACCGGAGCUAAUACCGGAUAAUAUAUUGAACCGCAUGGUUCAAUAGUGAAAGACGGUUUUGCUGUCACUUAUAGAUGGAUCCGCGCCGCAUUAGCUAGUUGGUAAGGUAACGGCUUACCAAGGCAACGAUGCGUAGCCGACCUGAGAGGGUGACCGGCAACCUUGGAACUGAGAAACGGUCAGACUCCUACGGGAGGCAGCAGUAGGGAAUCUUCCGCAAUGGGCGAAAGCCUGACGGAGCAACGCCGCGUGAGUGAUGAAGGUCUUCGGAUCGUAAAACUCUGUUAUUAGGGAAGAACAAAUGUGUAAGUAACUAUGCACGUCUUGACGGUACCUAAUCAGAAAGCCACGGCUAACUACGUG